GUUAAUGUAGCUUAACCUAAAGCAUGGCACUGAAGAUGCCAAGAUGGGCCAUAAAAAGUCCCAAUAACA
rnacentral:tRNA from 1 species